ensembl:lncRNA
CCGGGCGCCCCACGGAGACCCCCGAAAGCCGCGAGCUUCGGCGAGGCUUUGCGCCGGCUGUGCGGAGGGACCCGCUUCCUGUUCCCGGGACAGAUCCGGCGGGAAAAGGCAGAGGAGCCGCCGGUCGGCUCGCAGGUCAGCCUCGCGCUCCCGGCUCCCGUCCUACGGCCCCAGUCAAGCACAAUCGGCGGGGGUUGCCCGGCCAGGCGGGAGCGGGAGGGGCGUGCGCGGGAAGCCCCCCCGGGAGCCGCGCCUAGCCUGGCCGGAUUGGCGGCGCUCGGCCCUUCGGGCUCCAGGCAGCCGCCGUGCAGUCGCUGCGCACCUUGAACGGCCAGAUCUCCGGCUUCAUUGUCCACCAGGCCAAAGCGCUGGAAGAAGAGGAGGACCAGCCCCAGGCCUCCCUGCCCGGCGGGAGCAGCACCCUGAGGAGGUCCGUGUCUCUGGUGACCCAGCUCCUGAUGGACGCCCAGGGCUCUUCUCCCUCCCCAACAUCCCUCCCGGCCUGAUUAUUUAUUGGAUGUCAUUCGAGAUUGCUGGGAGACAAAUAUUUCUUUGUCUUCUGCAGUUUGUGAGGCAGCCUCUCCACACUGGCCAGCCAACUUAUCUGCACUGUUUCUGGAAAAAUGAAGCAACAUUCUUGGGAGCUGGUGUAAAAAAUAUUAUCUGAUUUGAAAGUGGGAGUCAUAGGUUUCAGAGUCCACCCUUCUCCUCACUUCUGCCAAGGGUUUCUUGAUGCUGAAUAAGCCAUCAAUUGGGGUUGUGCCAGCAGCCUGGCCCUGCCAAAGAGUACAGGAAAAGCCAUGAAAUAUUAUCGGGACUAACAAAUUGAAGUUAAGCGACUUUGGAAAAAGAAAUUGUGUGUUAUCCCAAUUGUAAUUGGAGUCCUUGGAACAAUACCUAAAGGGCUGCCUCACUAUUUGGAAAUCCUGAAUUAAUCAGACUUGAAUACCCUGAUUUUACAAAAAGCCACCCUGCUUGGAACCGCUUAUAUCCUGCAAUGCUACCUGAAUAGUUCCUCGGUCCUUGGUUAGGUCCUCGAGCUGUUGAGCUACCAACCAGCUCCAAAGGUUGUGAAUCUCACCAAAGAUUUAAUAAUAACAACAACAACAAUAAUAAUCCUGCAAUGAUAUCUGCUACAUAUUCACAUCUACCUAUCUCAGGUCCUUGGAUACCAGGCAGACAAAAAUGCCAAAUCCACUCUGAACAUCUGGGUGACUGCAGCAAACCAUGAGGAGGAGCAUGAGGAUGCUUCAGGAUGAACGUUGAAGAAGUUUCCCCCAAUUUUUCUACAAAAACAUAGAAUAACCAGAGUUGGAAGGGACCUUGGAGGUCUUCCAAUAAUCUAUCAACCUCUCUGGUCAAGCAAAAGAGCCUAUAUACCAUCCUGGACUAAUGAUUGUCCAAUCUCAAAACCUCCAGUGAUAGGGGCACCCACAACUUCUGAAGGCCAACCAUUCCAUUAGUUAAUUGCUAUCAUGGCUAGGAAAUUUCUCCUUAGUUCUAGGUUGCUUCUCUCCUUGGUUAGUUUCCAACCAUUGUUUCUCGUCUUGCCUUUUGCUGCUUUGGAAAAUACCUUGACCCUCUCAUCUUUGUAGAAAACCCUCAAAUAUUGGAAGGCUGCUAUCAUGUGUCUCUCCCCCCCCACUCCCGUUCUUCAUUUCAUUAGAUUAGAAAUACCCAGUUCCUGCAACUGUUCUUGGUUCCCGCUGUUUUGAAUUGUUCCUGCAACCCAUGUGCUGCUACUGUUUGGGCAAGAGAUUGGAGUGCCUCUCGUACACAACCGGGACACACUUCUGCCACCUGGACAUCCUGCCCUUCGAGAAUUUCAAACUCCAAAAGACACAACAAAAAGACUCCCAAGUGUGGCCCUUGACUCCACCGCAGAGCUUUCUCGCCUAAAGAGGCCACUUUCUUCUCAACUGCAAAGGAUCAGCGCUGGCCAGUUAUAGUGAGCUGGCAAGCUCCAGCUGUUAUGUCUGCCAUAAAGCGAGAAGUGCACAUUUUGCUUACCCAACAAUGGAGAUGGACAAAAACUUGAGGGGAGGUACUGAAAGGGUCUCUUCACUGCCCCCUUUUUGCUGGGGAGUCCUGGUGUAAUCCAAGCACCCCUUGCCACCUUCCCCAUCACAUGAAUUAGAAGCGGGCAAGGGUAUUGGAAGGUCCUGGGAUAAAUAUUGAACUGGCACCGAAUCUGUUCAUUCUCACAGAAGGCCCUCUUUGCAGAGUCUUUUAUUCUCCCUCCUCUUCCUUUUUCCCCUAGUGUGCCCUGUCUUUGGUCUUCUUGCUGGCUGUCCAGACAAUAGCAAUGAAAAUUAUUUAAGCGAAGGGAAAAAAAAAACCGCCUCAGGGAAGUCAUUUGAUAAAUGUGUGUGUAGCUCUUAAAUCUCCUUCCUGGCCGGGUCUUUUCUGUCCUUCGCCACAGACCUUCUGGGCUGGAUGAGGCUGCAAAUGGGAAAGCGCUUGGUGCACCCCCAAAAGGAGGCUGCAGGUGCAGGCAGGGGCUCUGUUUCAGCUCUGCAGCUCAGUGCAGCCGGGAUUUGGGUCCUGCUUUCCUGGUUACCAGCCUGGGACAUCUCUGUGUGAGAGAGCGCCAAGGCCUGGUCCUUCCCAAAUCCAGGGGUGCUCUGCCUUGAACCUCAGUGGGUGAGCCUCCCUCCGUUUGGUGCUGGGGGGCUCAUUAACGGGGGUCUCCGUCUUAUUCUAUUGCCUGAAUCCAAAUGGGGACUUCCACGAAGCCCUCUCAGCCCUCAGGUUCAGGCAAGCCAGGAUUGCAGAGUCAAAACGGGGCAUCCCAGGCAGAAGAGAAGGGCAGGGAUGCGUGGGGGCUUUAUUAAGUCAAUAUAUUAGUGAUAAUGUCUUGGUACAAACAGCAUCAAUUUAUAUUUUAGAGAUAUACAAAUACUUGCAAACCAC